rnacentral:rRNA from 1 species
AGUGAACGCUGGCGGUAGGCCUAACACAUGCAAGUCGAACGGCAGCACAGUAAGCGUUCGUCUUUACGGUUGGCGAGUGGCGGAUGGGUGAGGCAUACAUCGCCUUCUUCUUUUUCGUGGGGGACUACGUAGGGCCAGUUCUGCUAAUACCGCAUAUGUUCUACGGGUGAAUUCAGGGGAUCAUGGGACUCUGCGUGUCAGUUUGAGCUGAUGUCGGAUUAGCUAGUUGGCAGGGUAAAGGCACACCAAGGCAACGAUCCGUAGCAGAUCUGAGAGGAUGAUCGGCCACACUGGAACUGAGACACGGUCCAGACUCCUACGGGAGGCAGCAGUAGGGAAUAUUGGACAAUGGGCGCAAGCCUGAUCCAGCCAUACCGCGUGAGUGAAGAAGGCCUUCGGAUUGUAAAACCCUGUUAUUAGGAAAGAAAAGCAGCGGGUGAAUACCCCGCUAUUCUGACGGUACCCAAAGAGAAAGCACCGGCUAACUUCGUG